rnacentral:rRNA from 1 species
GACGAACGCUGGCGGCGUGCUUAACACAUGCAAGUCGAACGGAAGGGCCCUGCUUUUGUGGGGUGCUCGAGUGGCGAACGGGUGAGUAACACGUGAGUAACCUGCCCUUGACUUUGGGAUAACUUCAGGAAACUGGGGCUAAUCCCGGAUCGGAGCUCCUGCUGCAUGGUGGGGGUUGGAACGUCUCGGCGGUUGGGGAUGGACUCGCGGCUUAUCAGCUUGUUGGUGGGGUAGUGGCUUACCCAGGCUUUGACGGGUCGCCGGCCUGAGAGGGUGACCGGCCACAUUGGGACUGAGAUACGGCCCAGACUCCUACGGGAGGCAGCAGUGGGGAAUAUUGCACAAUGGGCGGAAGCCUGAUGCAGCAACGCCGCGUGCGGGAUGACGGCCUUCGGGUUGUAAACCGCUUUCGCCUGUGACGAAGCGUGAGUGACGGUAAUGGGUAAAGAAGCACCGGCUAACUACGUG